rnacentral:lncRNA from 1 species
GUUGACCAAUAUACGAGUAAUAUAUAAUUCUAAACUUUGUUUGGAAUAUAGUAAUUUGUUUGAUAAGAUCUGCUUGAAUGUGAUACAUCGUUGGUUGUUAUUGAUUAAACUACCAAAAAUCAUGUCUUAGUGAUAUUGUUCUUGAAUGAAUUCUUCCGCGUAUCUAUUUAGUGUUGUUAUAUUGGAUUUAAUAUUCUAUUUUAUUCUAUAUUUUUGUUGGCACCAUUUUGAAUAUGUAUUCAUAUCUUUUUGUACGUUUUUAUAUGGUUGUGCCAAGUGAAAAUUUUGUAAUGAAGUACUAUAAAUGUAAGGCAUAAAGUGGCUUGGAAAGGUUGAGUGAAUUUUUGUAAUGUAUACAACUCACAACUAUGUAAGCAGAAGAUGAGUACAAUAUUGGAGAUUAAGCAUCUUGAAAUUAGAUCAAUAGUGGUAUUUGUAACCAUGAACAAAUUUCAACAUCAAAGGUAAUUAUUGAAAUUAGAAACUGUUGUUUAAUAUGUUUAAAUGAUAUUGUACUAAUGUUAUUUUUAUAACUAACGAGAUUUUUAAAAUAUUUUGCAGGUUAUACUGACUCUUAACAGAUUUGCUCAAUUUAGAAGUCUUUCCUUCUAGUAGAACAAGAGGUAUUAUUUAUUGUUAUAUUUUCUUUUUUAUUCUUAUUUUUAACUUAAAUUUCUGUUUAGAACACAGGUUUGACAGGAGUAACAGAUUGGAGAAAGGUGGGAAGUAGUACGAAUGUUGUAGGAUUUAGAUUUUGUGAUAGAUUUGAGGAGGGAAAGAGAAUAGGUAAGUAGGUAUAAGCAUAAGAG